rnacentral:rRNA from 1 species
CCUACGGGUGGCUGCAGUAGGGAAUAUUGGACAAUGGAGGCAACUCUGAUCCAGCCAUCCCGCGUGAAGGAUUAAGGUCCUAUGGAUUGUAAACUUCUUUUCUCUGGGAAUAAAAACUCCGUUUCUACGGAGCUUGAAGGUACCAGAGGAAUAAGCACCGGCUAACUCCGUGCCAGCAGCCGCGGUAAUACGGAGGGUGCAAGCGUUAUCGGGAUUAACGGGGUUGAAGGGGGCUUUGGGUGGCAGUGGUGAAAUGUCGCAGCUUAACUGCGAAACUGCCAUUGAUACUGUUUAGCUUGAAUCAAGUUGAGGUGGAUGGAAUAUUACAUGUAGCGGUGAAAUGCUUAGAUAUGUAAUAGAACACCAAUUGCGAAGGCAGUUCACUAAACUUGUAUUGACACUGAGGCUCGAAAGCGUGGGGAUCAAACAGGAUUAGAUACCCGAGUAGUC